rnacentral:tRNA from 1 species
GGCGUUAUAUUUUAAGUAUAAAAGGUUUGAUUUGCAUUUAAAUGAUGGAGUAUUUAGCUCCUAAUGCCA